UGCCAGCACUGAUUAAUUGGCUAUACUUGGAGAUGCUUCUGCAUCCUCAAAUCUGAAUCACGGCAGAGAAGAACGAGCUUCAUGAAAAUGAGCUUGUUUUGAAGGCGAAAAAGGCAAAAAUGGAGCAGCAGGUCAGGCUGAAGCAACCAAGAUGCCCAUUUUUUCAAGCAACGGUUACAUUCCAAUGUGGACUUGGAGUUGCAGGCGGCACUUCUUGAAGAAGAAGAUGAACUUAUAUUAU
rnacentral:lncRNA from 1 species